rnacentral:lncRNA from 1 species
CUCUCUUUUUGUCUCUGUCUCUGUCUCCAUCUUUCUCUUUGCCUCUCUUUUCUUUCUUUCCUUCCUUCCUUCCUUCCUUCCUUCCUUCCUUCCUUCCUUCCUUCCUUCCUUCCUUCCUUCCUUCCUUCCUUCCUUCCUUCCUUCCUUCCUUCCUUCCUUCCCUCUCUCCUUUCCUUUCCUUUUCUCCACUACUCCCUCCUUUUUCCCCUUUGACACAUUAAAAAGUAGAGUAUACAUAGAAACUUCUAC